AGUGAACGCUGGCGGCAGGCCUAACACAUGCAAGUCGAGCGAAAAGACGGUAAGAGCUCGCCCUUACGGGUGGCGAGGGGCGGGCGGGUGACGCAUACAUCAGCAACUACUUUUUCGGGGGGAACAACGGAAAGACGCUGAUGCUAAUAGCGCAUAUGAUCUACGGGAUAAAGCAGUGGAGAUUCGCGGCUUUGCCGACUGAAAUAGACGGUGUCGCAUUAGCUAGUUGGGAUGGUAAGGGCACACCAAGGCGACGAUCCGUAGCUGAUCUGAGAGGAUGAUCAGCCACACUGGAACUGAGACACGGUCCAGACUCCUACGGGAGGCAGCAGUAGGGAAUCUUCCACAAUGGGCGCAAGCCUGACCCAGCAAUGCCGCGUGAGUGAAGAAGGCCUUCGGAUUGUAAAACUCUUUUAUUAGGGAAGAACAACAGCGGAUUAAACCAUGCCCGUUUUGACGGUACCUAAAGAGAAAGCCCCGGCUAACUUCGUG
rnacentral:rRNA from 1 species